CUCUCUCUCCCUCCCUCCUCUAAAGACGUCUACUCUGUGGCUCAGUUCCUCAGCCGACGCAAAACCUCACUUAGUAGAUUAGAUCCUCUCAGCUCCAAUUGUUUCUUUCAUGCCCGUGUAUAAUUAUUUUUGCGUGUGCUGUCCUGUCCAAUUUUUGAUUGAGAUGGUACUGUUAGCUUUCAAAAAUCCAGUUGGGAGAAGCUGCAAUGGUAUUUUCCAGCACUGUAGACUUGGAUAACUUGAUUCUUGAGCUAAUAAUCAACCCCCAGCAUUAAAUCGGUGCAAGGAUGAUGUAUACACUGUGGAUGUCGUUUGAUUGGAUCAUGACUUAUGACAGAUGUUUUUAGAAGCUCAGGUAUGGAUUCGUUUAGCAGGGACUACGGAUUAUCAAGAGCGGCGAUCAUAGGUGAUUCCAAUGGAAAAAAGCGCGCGAAGGCGCUAGGCGACAACAUAACGCCUAGCGCUUAAUCAUGCUAGGUGUGCGUUUAAGCGCAACUAGGUGAGAUAAGCGCGAGGCCGUGGCAAACCGCACAAUUAACGCCUAGCGCUUUCUUUUCCUUGGAUGAUUCAUCAUAAAUUUGGCUUUGCUCUGUGCUUCCGGAAGCGUGUAUAGAGCCACGUAAGAGCUGAGCUGACGAACUAACACGUAACGUAAAGUCUCACCUUUGGCAUAAAUGUGGUACUGCAUUAUGAUGCAAUCGAUAUUUAUAUACAGCAUUUUUAAUUACCUGCACCGCUACAUUCUGCAAGAAAGAUGUUAAUUAAGAUUAAUUUAGUUAAUACCAGUGAAUAUUUGGUGUACACAUGCCAAAGCUUGACCGCCUUCAUUGAUUUUUAUUACUGCUAGUUUCUUCUCACAAUCCCUGAGUUGGUGAUGACCAGUGAUUAGUGUCUUUGUAUAUUUAAUCUCUGUUAUAAAGGUUGGGGUUUUAAUUUUCAAGUCAAGUUACAGCUGGAAAUUCUUCAAAGCAAAACAUAUUUUUAUUUAUGGCGCUCUCCAAUUUGGGAUUAUAACCAAUAUAGGGUAACGACAUAAUGAACAUUUAGUUGCCCUUUGCCUGUUUGUUGUUAUCUAUCCGAGCUAGAAAAUUGGAUUGUAGUUUUGUAGUGUUGUCUUCUUGACGUGCUAUAUAGCUUGUCCAGGGAUAGGAAAAACUUGACAUUUGUUGCACCCCGGUUUUGUCUGGCUUCAUUGUUUCAUUUAAGGACAUUUUACGUUUGUCAGUACUCUACUGAUGCGGUGAUGAAUUUACCAGUUCUGUUCACUAGCUUCUUCUAGUUUCAUGUUCCCCCAGAGGUGUUUUUUUGUGUAACUUUAAUGUGGUGAUAAUACACUCCUUAAAAUGUUCCAUUUAACACAAUAAUAGUGUACUGUUUCUUCGUGUGCUUCUGUUUGUAAGUCGUCUGUUUAUCAGUUUCUGUAUAGCUUGAGAUGUUAAGCCCUUCCUGUAUGGCUGUGUGCAACGUUUUAUGUGCCAUGUUCCUGAUUAAGAUGGCUUUUUGGCAGGGGUUCCUUGGACUGAAGAAGAACAUCGGAGGUUUUUGCUUGGAUUGCAGAAGCUUGGAAAGGGUGAUUGGCGAGGGAUCUCUCGUAAUUUUGUGGUCUCAAGAACACCUACUCAAGUAGCAAGCCAUGCUCAGAAAUAUUUUAUACGCCAAGCCAAUAUGAGCAGAAGGAAGAGAAGGUCUAGCCUCUUUGACUUGGUGCCUGAUGAGGUAGGUUGCUAGAUCUUAUGAUUGAUUAUUACACCUGUGUGGCAUAACUUGACCUGAUUCUCUUUAUGUAGUUACAAUAUCACUACCUUAGUUCCUCAUGCUAGAAAUCUAUCUUUUUGAACAGAUCGUGUAGUGUUGCAUGGACAGGCAUGCAGUUCUCAUCUCGCAUUUCAUUAGGAAGAUAUUAGUUUGCACUUUGUAUAUAAGUCAGAACUGAACGGUAUCUUGUGUAUUUUACAGUCGGACCUGCCACCCCUUCCUGGUAAUCAAGAACCUGAGGCCCAGAUAUUGAAUCACCCACCAUUACCUCCACCCAUGGAGGAGGAGGAGGUAGAAUCUAUGGAGUCAGAUACUUCUGUCAUUGCAGAGAGUUCUUCAGCUUCUGCUAUCAUGCCUGAGAAUUUGCAGUCGAGCUAUCCGGUGCUAGUUCCAGCAUAUUUCUCACCAUUCUUGCAAUUCUCAGUUCCUUUCUGGCAAAAUCAGAAUGAUGGAGAUGAUCUUGGACAAGGGACACAUGAGAUUGUGAAGCCUGUUCCAGUUCAUUCAAAGAGUCCAAUCAAUGUUGAUGAACUGGUGGGCAUGUCUAAGCUAAGCAUAGGGGAUCCCAAGCAAGAUACAGUAUCUACCUCUCUUUCCUUAAAAAUGGUAGGAGGUCAAAAUAGACAAUCGGCUUUCCAGGCGAAUCUCCCAACGAGGGCUCAGGCGUGAGCCCCUCAGCACACAAACUGCACUUAGAUGAGCCCUGGCAAAAAUAAGCUUUGCCUCUUUUCCUUUUCUUUUCUUUUUAAGAUUAACUGUGGUCUGUAGUCUGUCCAAUGUACCCUGUGUUGUAAGUUAUGUUAUGUAUGGAUGCAUCUGUUGUUUGUAUGGCACAUGAUAUAUGCCCACUGCAUGUUGACAGAAUCAUUAAUGUUAGUGCUGAUCUCCAGGGUUGUACUGUAAACUCUUAUAUAAGAAAAAGAAAUAUCAGUCAGUUAUUGGACCUUUGAAGUGAGCUCUGCUCAUUCUGUUCUACACAAUCUUCAUUACUGAAUGAUGAAUCAGUGUCUUCAGAUUUUGUCCCGAUACUGGAAAUUUGGAGCUGGCUAUCCAGUCACUCACUCAAGAUCUUAUGGUUGAAAGAAGCCAUGCUAAAUAUUUUACCAAUGACUGCUGCAUGAUUUUAUUCUUAUAUGGUUGGCAUGUGUCUAUAUGGUUUAAUGUAUUUGUGGCAAGAACAAACGGAUUAGUGGAUUCUCCUUCGGGACAGAUUCUAUAUCUGGGAUAUUCCCUGGGACUGUACCUUUCAAUCCUGAUUCUGCAUUUGCACUCACCUCCAUUAUGCACCAAGUGUUGCAAGUGUGGUUGGUGACAGACAGUAGUGGCUAGUGGCCAGUCCCUUUCAGAUAUAUCGACAUAUUUCCAAGCUGUUGGGUUGUGCACGAGUGCACUGUUUGGCCAUCCAAGGACCUGUCACUUUUACAUCUUUAGCAAAAGUCAUGAUGCAUAAUCAGACAAUCCAGUCCCUCUGAGAGACGGUUCACUUAUAUAUUUUUUCUCUGAAAUUCCAGUUACUUCAUAUCAGUAAUCUCACCGUUUGAAAUGGCCAUAUGUAGGAACUGGCAACAGCAACCACAGGUCUGUCAGGUGACACAAUUAGAUGCAAUCAUACUUACAAACUUAUCUGCUAGUUUAAAGUCCUGUACUAUGUUUUUCCUUGCAGGUUUGAUGGAAAUACAUUCAAGUUCGGAAGUCACUAGGAGCUCGGCGAGUAGAUUUUCCUUUCUUGCCUCUCCUUUUCCUCCUCUUCCUUAUCAUCUUCCUCCCCAACAAUCUUCUUCCAGAACCAAUGCCUCCUCCAGACCUGUUCCAUCUGCUCCAUCGGAAGCUUCUUGGUCUCUGGCAGGAACAGAUAGACCACUAGCGUCAUCACGCAAAUCCACGCGGCAAAGACGAAGAACGUUCCCGACUUGAUGCGGCAGAGGACCGCCAGAAAUGUCUGGCCGAUCACAAACGUCAUCAGGAAGACCACGGCGACCACAAUGCUCUGCCCUGCUGACCUGAUCUCCAGUGGGCAGAUCUCAGUCGGGACGAGGAAUGUGAGAGGCCCCCAUGACCAUGCAAAGCCUGCCACAAACACACACAUGGUGAUCAACACAAGGAAAGCAUAGUCCUUAUCCAUCAACCCAUUGUCCUUGAACUUUGCAGCUAGGAUGGCGCCGACAGCGAGCUGCGACAAGAUCAUCUGGAUCCCUCCUACAAGGAAGAGCUUCCUGCGCCCAAACCUGUCGACCACCAUCAUCGCUACGAUGUUGGCAAAUGUUGCGCAGAGACGCGUGACCACCGAAGACAGGAGGGAGGCGCUCUCCUUGAGGCCAAUUGUCCGGAACAUCACCGGGGCAUAGAAGUUCAUCACAUUGAUCCCGGUGAGCUGGCUGAAGAAAGGGAUCAGGAACACCAUGGCGAGCUGUGGCCUGUACUUCCUCUUGAAUAUGUCUCUGAAUGGGUAUCUGGCUGCCCUGGAGAGGUUGCUAGCAGAGACCAAGUCAUCCAGCUCAUUCUGUACUGAGGUGGUUCCACGCAGCUUCUGGAGCAGGGCUCUCGCCUUGUCGGUGUCGCUGUCCCGCUGGAUUAUGAAGCUUGGCGUCUCGGGGAGGAAGAUUGCACCGAUGGUCAGGAAUGCAGCAGGGACUGCGGCCAUGGAUAGGGAUAUCCUCCAGCCCCACCCUGCUGUGAGUUUCACCACGCAGUAGUUGAGGAUGUUUGCAAUGAGAAUGCCGAUGCUGAUGCUGAGCUCGAACCCAUUGUUGAUUGCACCGCGGUACUGCGGUGGCGCCAUUUCUGACAGGUACAAUGGGAUCGACUGAAAAAAUAAAGAGUCAAUUACACCACUGGUGCUAAAACUUGACGUGAAAAAUCACUUCAGUGCUAGAACUUGUGGCAUAUGUUGCAUUGGUGCUACAACUUGGCUUUGGCAUGCAUAUACGGUGCAAGUCGCAUUUGUAUACGGACACGGCAUGGCACGGGGCCUGCUGUCAGCCACUAGAUGGUACAGAUUGGGUGUGUGGCUUGUUAUUUUGUGGAAAACCACUCGGAUUAAUUUUUCUCAUGAAAAGGCCUCUGGCACAUAUUGGUCCAUCUGUCAGCAAGCAAAUUAUGUGCAAAAAAUUGCGGACGAUGGGAUUUGAUCCCAAAGUGCAGCGUGGAAGGGCGUGUGCCUAAUCAAUGCACCAAGAGGUGUUUUUUGUUAUAAAUGCAAAAGUACACUAUAUAUCCAUGAGGCCUUGAGCUAGCUGGAGACCCUACAUCAUUUUGCAGUGUUAUUUAUAUACUUUUUUAAAAAUUAUAUGUAAAUUAUAAUCGUGAGUCAUGCUUUCAGAAUUUUUUAUUUUUCUAUAUAUUCUAAUAAGUGCUUACAUAAGUUUAAAAUGUUCACAGUUUUAACAAAAUAUUUAUGUAGUAUAUAAAAGUGUUUAUGCUUUAAGAAAUUUUCUAAAUAUUUUAAUAAAUUCUUAUAUAAGUUUAAAAAUGUUCACAGUUUCAAAAAAAUUACUCAUGUAGUCUAUAAAAGUGUUCAUGCUUUAAGAAACGUAUAUUCAUAAAAUGUACAAAUAGUUGGCUAGGAUUCGAACCAGCGAUAUGUAGUCAUCAGGUGCACGUGGCCACCACCCACCCAACAGCGUUAUUUUUUUUAGAAAUUUAGAAAAUAUAAGUAAAUUAUAAUCUUGUGUUAUAGCUAAUAUAUACAUAAUAAUUACAUUAUAAAUUAUUCACGUAUUAUUUCGAAAAAUAUCAAUAUGAUUAAAUUAUAAAUUAUAAAAUUAUGCACGUAAUAAUUUUCAUAUUCAAUAAAAAUGUCAAAUAAAACUUUCUAUAUAUUUAAAUAGGUGGUAAUAUGUAUUUAAAAUGUUCAUGCUUUGAAUAAUAUAGUUAUGUUUAAUAUAAAAUUGUUCAUAUUCAUUCUGCAAUUUAUUUUAUUUGCAGCACACAGUUAUAAUUUACAUGUAAUUUAUUAUUUUUGUAAAAAAUAAUAGUUCAAAAUGGGUCGUAGGGUGCCCGGCCCACUUAAGAUCUAAAGAAUAUAUUAUGUGCGUAUCCACUAAGAACAAACGACGAUUCUGGCUGCAUUGGUUAAGCACACAUGUGACAGGUCUCCACGCUACAGAUUGCGGGUUUGAAACCUAUCGGCCACAAUUUUCCAGCUGAUAGAUGGACCGAAAUGUGUCAGUGGCCUUUUCAUGAGAAAAAAUAAUCCUGAGGUGUUUUCCACAAAAUAACAGGCUGCACGCCCUAUCUCUACAUUUAGUGUAUGACAGCGGGCCUUUAGUGUCUGACAGCGGGCCUCAUGCCAUAUGGCGCGCCUAAUCAGUACCAUGUCCAUAUGCAAAUGCCACAAAAUAACAGGCCGCACAUCCUACCUCUACAUUUAGUGUCUGACAGCGGGCCUCAUGUCAUGCGGCAUGCCUAAUCAGCACCAUGUCAGUAACAAAUAUGAUUUGCACAUAUGCACGCCGAAGCCAAGUUUUAGCACUAGUUCAUUGUAUGCCAUAAGUUUUGGUACUAAAGUGAUUUUUCGCGUCAAGUUUUAGCACCACUGGUGUAAUUGACUCAAAAAUAAACAUAACAGUAACCACAGUAAGGUAUUUAGUGGACUUCACAAUGUCCUUUUGGAGAAAGAAAAAUAUUAUUCAGAAACUUCACAUGCACUUGCUACAAGAUAACACACCUUAUCGGGUAGUCAAUGCAAUGAUUUUUUGGGAUUUGGGAGGGAGACAUGUAAAUUGUCAUUGUAAACAUGUAGCUAUCCAUUGUCAUCAACUUGGAGGUUGGAACAAAUUACAUCUACAGGAAUCUUAUGUCUGUACACAAAGCUUGCGCAUUGCUUCUCCAGCUACAUACAGCCGCACAAGAUUUGUGGACUGAUGCAGGGUCCGGAAGGAUGAUCUUUCUAUAUUAUCCAAAAGAAAUUUAUACAUGUCUGACGAAACUUCGCUGCGCUACAGAUUUUUUUAAUCUCCUGAACCACAUGUACACGCUGACUUAAAGAUCAUUGGCUUGAAUUACUGCAGAGAGAGUUACCUGGUUAGUGAACCCCAGGCCUAUUCCAAGCAGGAUCCGGUUGAGGAGCAACAUGGGCACGUUCACGGCUGCUCCCCAAAACGCUGAGCCGGCGAUGAAGACGGUUCCGCCAAUCAGCAUGGACGCGCGGCGGCCAAACCUCCUCGUGACACACGACGCGAACAGCGUCGCGAUGAGGCCGGCGAUGUAGAGGGAGGAGGUGAAGACGGCGAGGAGCUCGCUGUCGAACUGGCAGUAGUUGCUGACGUUGCUGUCCUGCUUGUGGCUGUACACCUCCGGGAAGAACGUCUUCAGAAAUGAGUCCAUGGAGGUGACACCACCUAGAAGAUUUCAGAACCGCGUGCAUUCAGUUUCAGUGAAUUUGGGGUGGGAGUGGGAAUGGAAGAAUGCAUAUGCACAACUAAGUUCAUCGCGUAAUGUUCACCUGCCCAAUGAUGGAACGCAUCAUCUUUUCUUUUUCUAUAAUCCCUCUAAAAGGACUAGUCCUAGAUCAUUUUGAUCUGAAGAAAAAUGGAGCAGAGGAAAGCACCCUGAACUCAUCAGUUGUGUCCCAAUAAUGGAAGAGAAAAUCUCCACCGCCACGAGGCACUGAAGCCAUUAAUGCACCACAAGUAAGCCAUGAAUGCCAUUUUAAUCCCUUCCAAGUCCAGCUUCUAACUUUCAGCUCUCAUAUUCCUUUCCGUUGAGCCCAAGAGGGUUAACAAUCUACAGUACUCUAGUCUAGAAAGAAGGAAGAAGAUGGGCGUACCGGAGAUGCCGAGGUCGUAGCCGAAGAGGAUGCCGCCGCUGCCGGCGACGAUGCAGGUCAGCACCACGAACGGCGUCACCCGGCCGCUGUACCCGCCGGAGCCGGCGGCCGGCGCCUCCACGGACGCCCCUAUCGCCAUCACUCCCUGCCCUUGCUCUCCUACUCCUAGUCCAAGGGCAGAGUGUCGUGGCGCGGGAGAGAGGGAGGGAGAGAAAGAGAUAUAUAAUUUUAUCGGCGGAUGGAUUGCUGACGUGCGCCCACUCCGGCGAAAAAACGGCCGCACGUCGCCGGCGAGGUUGACUGACACCUUUGACUACCUCUGGGGUCCCACUCAUCGGUGGCCCUGUGGAUUCUGAUUUUGUUGCGGGUGGAAAUGAUACGAGCAGGCCCACUUGAGCCCAACUAAUUAGAUGGGCCAGGAGGUAGCUCGGUUACUCACUUUGUACCGGAUGCAACCGUAAGAUCCAAUCUGCCGGUGGCCGCCGGCGAGAUGGACCUGCCGGCGAACCGCGGUCGGUGGCGCAGGCGGAGCGCACGGUCGCAUGUGCCGCUACUCGUGGCCAUCUUUUUCCUCCUCCUCCCGGCAUCCCUCCUGCUCUCCUCCGCCUACUCCUCCCUGCUCCGCUCCCUCCUCCCCUUCUCCGCCUCCGCCCCCGGCAGUGGCGGCGGCGGCACCCUGCGGUGUGGGCGCUCGGCGGAGCUGGAGGGGGAGAGGUUCCUGUGGUACGCCCCGCACAGCGGGUUCAGCAACCAGGUGGGCGAGCUGCGGAACGCUGCGGUAGCGGCCGCGCUGCUCAACCGCACCCUCGUCGUGCCCCCCGUGCUCGACCACCACGCCGUCGCCCUCGGGAGCUGCCCCAAGUUCAGGGUCGCCGAACCCUCCGAUCUCCGAGCCGCCGUCUGGGACCACGCCAUGCAGCUCCUCCGGGAGCAGAGGUAAAGCCCACACCACACCUUCUGCUCGGUUUACUGAUUGUUUGGAAGAUCACGAUGUUCUUUAGUAAAAUCAAUCAUGUUGCGAGAUAUUAGAGCUUCAUUACAAUGUUAACAAUGCAAACACCAAAAUGUAAGAAUGCUAGGUAAUUUUCAUGAUUUAGAAUCACACUGAUUCUUUUUCGUAAUUGAUCGAGACUCCAGUGCGGUGAGAUUGGUGCCAAGAGGAAUGUGAAUAUAGAGAUGUAAUGUGGUUGUUACACACGUACACUGGCAGAGUACUCACUUUACUGAUUAGCACAAUAGUGAUAUAAUUUUUCAAGUUUGCAGUGUUCAUAAUAGGUUUCCAUGUUCACCUUUUACGUUUCAGGUAUGUUUCGAUGGGAGACAUAGUUGAUCUGUCCCCACUGAAGCCUUUGGUUAAGACAAUUGAUUUCAGGGUAUUUGUUUCACUAUGGUGCGGUGUAGAUAUGCAGAAAACUUGCUUUUCUGGGUUGUGCUGUUCUGUUUCUGGCGGUGGAUCAUUGCCAAGUGACUACGAUAGAUGCCGAUCUUUACUGUCUGGUUUAGAAGGCAGUGAAAGUGGUGGUUGUGUGUAUCCUGUUCAGGAUGAUUGUAGAACAACAGUCUGGACAUAUCAGGAGAAUAAUGAUGGAGCACUGGAUUCGUUUCAACCAGAUGAAGAAUUAAAAAGGAAGAAGAAGAUAUCAUACGUUAGGAGGCGUAAAGAUAUAUACAAGAGUUUAGGGCCUGGUAAUAAAGCUGAGGAUGCUACCUUGUUGGCCUUCGGGACACUUUUUUCAGCACCAUACAAGGGAUCAGAGUCUUAUUUUGAUAUCCAUGAAUCACCAAAGGAUCAUAGAUUACAGAAUCUACUUGAGAAAAUUGAGUUCCUUCCUUUUGCCCCAGAGAUCAUGGCUGCAGGGACGGAGCUUGCUAAGAGCAAGAUUAAGGAGCCUUUUCUUUGCGCACAACUAAGAUUGUUAGAUGGCCAAUUUAAGAAUCACUGGAAAUCUACCUUUUCUGCCCUUAAGGAGAAACUGAAAUCUCUUGAGGUGGAAAUGAAGACAAACAAGAACAGUGGUUCUGUUCACAUUUUCCUCAUGACUGAUCUUCCCAGAGCAAACUGGACAAAAACCUAUCUCGCAGAUAUUGCAAAAGAUGGGAAAUAUCAACUGUACAUCCUGAAGGAAGAUGAUGUUCUGCAGACUGCCGAGAAGCUUAUGGCUGCUGAACAUGGCAUAAGGUCUGGAUUCCUUCCAAAGAUCAGAGGCAACACGAACAAGGAUUGUGAUCCAGUUCAACUACCGGAAAUUUUAUUAUACAUCGAAGAAUCUGUUUGCAGCUGUGCAUCACUCGGAUUUGUGGGGACUGCUGGAUCAACCAUAGCAGGAAGUAUAGAAACAAUGAGGAAGAACAAUGUGUGCAAAUUGUAGGAGAACUACAUUAUUUGUGCAAGCUGCCACAAAACUAACCGAUGCUACUUAAUGAGUUAAUUCAGUGGGGGCUGUUGCACUACAGAGAGCUGAAUCAUUGCAGACUAGAGACUGAGAAACCAGUUUCAUGCUCAGGUUCUACGACUCUACAAUGUUGAGCAUCUACUGCGGUAUAUUAAAAUUCAAACCACUCUCUCUUUUCCUUUGUUUCAGUCGCGUAGAUAGACAAGGCUCAUUGUUUGCAAGCUGUGCCUAAAUUAUGUUGCGUUUCAUCCUCCAAUUUUGUCAUGACAGGCAAGGACAGAGAUAGCUUGUGUAGACGACUGUCGGAAUCAAACAGAUUUCAUGGGCUCUCUUCUUGUUACAGAUUCAUCAUCCAUGCAUGUCCUUGUUUAGCAAGUUUUUUUUAAUAAGGAAAUGAGUGAAAAAAACUAACUAUUUGUGUAUAUCUAACUGUACUGUAAUGCACAACUUACAGUGAUAAACAAGCUGUAGUAUUCCCAGAAGCUUGGCUUAGCUAGAAAUCAUCAUUUGCUAGUGAGUUAUUUCUAUCAAUAGAAACUUCUACCCCUUGAUGCUGCAUCUCACACAUAAUUAUACACUUAUAUUUUGACUGUUGAUCAAAUUGCAACACUUCUUUUUUCUUUUCUUGAAAAUGAGUUAAUCUCGAUUCUCUUUUGGCUAAGAUUUUCAACUCUGUAGGAACAUUCUGCCGUACAGUUAUUCUACAGUAUGGCAUGUCUAGACGCUAAGUUGUAC
rnacentral:lncRNA from 1 species